CAUAGAGUCACAUAGAGGUGGUUCAUGUCUAACUGUUAACAUAGAGUCACAUAGAGGUGGUUCAUGUCUAACUGUUAACAUAGAGUCACAUAGAGGUGGUCCAUGUCUAACUGUUAACAUAGAGGUGGUUCAUGUCUAACUGUUAACAUAGAGUCACAUAGAGGUGGUCCAUGUCUAACUGUUAACAUAGAGUCACAUAGAGGUGGUCCAUGUCUAACUGUUAACAUAGAGUCACAUAGAGGUGGUUCAUGUCUAACUGUUAACAUAGAGUCACAUAGAGGUGAUUUGUGGCACAAAUUCUGUGUAUGCAAAAACGAGUAUGCUGCCUGGAGAUCUCUCUCUUUUUCCCUCCCUACU